rnacentral:rRNA from 1 species
CAGCUCGUGUCGUGAGAUGUUGGGUUAAGUCCCCGCAACGAGCGCAACCCCUAUUGUUAGUUGCCAUCAUUCAGUUGGGCACUCUAGCGAGACUGGCCGGUAAUAACCGGAGGAAGUGGGGAUGACGUCAAAUCAUCAUGCCCCUUAUGACCUGGGCUACACACGUGCUACAAUGGUUGGUACAACGAGUUGCGAGUCGGUGACGGCGAGCUAAUCUCUUAAAGCCAAUCUCAGUUCGGAUUGUAGGCUGCAACUCGCCUACAUGAAGUCGGAAUCGCUAGUAAUCGCGGAUCAGCACGCCGCGGUGAAUACCGUUCCCGGGCCUU